CAGGCCUAACACAUGCAAGUCGAACGGAAACGAUACUAGCUUGCUAGUAGGCGUCGAGUGGCGGACGGGUGAGUAACGCGUAGGAAUCUGCCUGAUAGUGGGGGAUAGCCCGAAGAAAUUCGGAUUAAUACCGCAUAAUCUAUUCGUAGUAAAGUGGGGGACUUUCGAGCCUCACGCUAUCAGAUGAGCCUGCGUAAGAUUAGCUUGUUGGUAGGGUAAAAGCCUACCAAGGCGACGAUCUUUAGCUGGUCUGAGAGGAUGAUCAGCCACAUCGGGACUGAGACACGGCCCGAACUCCUACGGGAGGCAGCAGUGGGGAAUAUUGGACAAUGGGGGCAACCCUGAUCCAGCAAUACCGCGUGUGUGAAGAAGGCCUGAGGGUUGUAAAGCACUUUCAAUUGUGAAGAAAAGUUAGCGGUUAAUAACCGUUAGCCUUGACGUUAACUUUAGAAGAAGCACCGGCUAACUCCGUGCCAGCAGCCGCGGUAAUACGGAGGGUGCAAGCGUUAAUCGGAAUUACUGGGCGUAAAGCGUGCGUAGGCGGUUUAUUAAGUCAGAUGUGAAAGCCCGGGGCUUAACCUGGGAACUGCAUUUGAAACUGGUCAACUAGAGUAUGGUAGAGGAAAGUGGAAUUUCUGGUGUAGCGGUGAAAUGCGUAGAUAUCAGAAGGAACAUCAAUGGCGAAGGCAGCUUUCUGAA
rnacentral:rRNA from 1 species